AGUGGGGAAUUUUGGACAAUGGGGGCAACCCUGAUCCAGCCAUGCCGCGUGAGUGAAGAAGGCCUUCGGGUUGUAAAGCUCUUUCGGCCGGGAAGAAAUCGCGCCAGCUAAUACCUGGUGUGGAUGACGGUACUGGAAGAAGAAGCACCGGCUAACUACGUGCCAGCAGCCGCGGUAAUACGUAGGGUGCGAGCGUUAAUCGGAGUUACUGGGCGUAAAGCGUGCGCAGGCGGCUCUAUAAGACAGAUGUGAAAUCCCCGGGCUUAACCUGGGAACUGCGUUUGUGGCUGUAGGGCUUGAGUGCGGCAGAGGGGGGUGGAAUUCCACGUGUAGCAGUGAAAUGCGUAGAGAUGUGGAGGAACACCGAUGGCGAAGGCAGCCCCCUGGGUCGACACUGACGCUCAUGCACGAAAGCGUGGGGAGCAAACAGGAUUAGAUACCCUGGUAGUCCACGCCCUAAACGAUGCGAACUAGGUGUUGGGGAAGGAGACUUCUUUAGUACCGUAGCUAACGCGUGAAGUUCGCCGCCUGGGGAGUACGGUCGCAAGAUUAAAACUCAAAGGAAUUGACGGGGACCCGCACAAGCGGUGGAUGAUGUGGAUUAAUUCGAUGCAACGCGAAAAACCUUACCUACCCUUGACAUGUCCGGAACCCUGCUGAGAGGUGGGGGUGCCCGAAAGGGAAUCGGAACACAGGUGCUGCAUGGCUGUCGUCAGCUCGUGUCGUGAGAUGUUGGGUUAAGUCCCGCAACGAGCGCAACCCUUGCCACUAAUUGCCAUCAUUUGGUUGGGCACUUUAGUGGGACUGCCGGUGACAAACCGGAGGAAGGUGGGGAUGACGUCAAGUCCUCAUGGCCCUUAUGGGUAGGGCUUCACACGUCAUACAGUGGUCGGUACAGAGGGUUGCCAAGCCGCGAGGUGGAGCCAAUCCCAGAAAGCCGAUCGUAGUCCGGAUCGCAGUCUGCAACUCGACUGCGUGAAGUCGGAAUCGCUAGUAAUCGCGGAUCAGCAUGUCGCGGUGAAUACGUUCCCGGGUCUUGUACACACCGCCCGUCACACCAUGGGAGUGGGUUUCACCAGAAGCAGGUAGCCUAACCGCGAGGGGGGCGCUUGCCACGGUGAGAUUCAUGACUGGGGUG
rnacentral:rRNA from 1 species